GGUUUGCACAGUGCUGCGGGCCAAAAACAAGUCCAACUAUUAUGUGUGACUUAGCAAUACACUCACAGACAUACUGGCUGACUGCAUACUCUCAGUGUGUGGAUGCCAGCUAGUGUGUGAGGCUCUAGCGUCACUUGGAGGAAGUCGAGCAGAUGUACUCGCCCCACAUCUUCUUCCAAUCUUAAAACCCUCAUCCAGAAAUUCACUCAUGAUGCUCCUCUCAAUACACACAAAACAAAACUUAUGGGCACAUUAGUAACAUUAGUGAUGCAAAUGUUUCAUGGUCAUGUGUGGUCCAGCCAAGCUGAGGCUGCUGUUGUGGCAGCUAGUAAAUGUGUACAUUUAUGGGCUGCUUUCUGUA